CUCUGAGUGCUGUUGUAGUUAUUGUUACAUAUAGAGACAGAUAUGACACUAUUGAGCAAAGAUAGGUGUACAUUAGACCACAAACAGAAAGCGGACAGGAAACCAAAGAUUAAACAGACAUAAGUAUAAUGGCCGAAGCCAUACGUGCUUUACUGUGCAUAAGGGCUUAGGGCAAAGAGGAGGAGGUGACACUUAAAAAUAUUAUCUAUUAUGGAAAGAGCAGGACACCAUUAUAAAGAUUAGAUAGAGAGGUAAAGGACAUAAGUGCUUAGGUUAAAGGCCAUAAGUGCUUAGGGUAAGAUAGACAUAUAUUAAUUUUAGGACACGAGAGGGUCCUGCCACCAUUGUAAUCUAAUCAAGAGCGGAUUCAGGCGUUAUUAGGCAUGAACAAGCAGGAAGUCUGGACUGAAAGAUAAUGGUGACCGAUGACCUGAGGGAAGUAACUUCAUUAACAUAUGGAAGGGACUCAUAUACUGUGUGUGUAUAAAGACAGAGCCAGUGCUCUGGAAAAGGGUGUGUUCCGCGGACCAUCUAGCCUGAUAUGUUUGUAUUAAAAGCCUAUAUUGAAUUCACAAGUUCUUGUAAGUGUUAUAUUUUGAAAUGAUUCACCACGACACUGAUCAUGUUGCUGUUGUUCAUGUUGCUGCUGUUCAUGUUGCUGUUGUUCAUGUUGCUGCUGUUCAUGUUGCUGUUGUUCAUGUUGCUGCUGUUCAUGUUGCUGCUGUCUAUCCUUGGCUUUCACAAUGUUGGAGAUACUUUUAGAGCCCGUUGCUCUGUGAAUGAGGAAAUAUGUGACUGUUUCUCCCUCGAGUUUUGGGAGAAACCACACGCUUGCACGUGAGAUCUAUGCACAUUUCUCCCAAACAACAUGGGAGAAAUGGGACUCUUGCUCUGACAUGUCAGGACUGUUUUCUUGGUACUGAACCGUGUCUCUGGACUUUCCACAUCUCCUGAAUGUUGUGGCGUUAAAGAUUCUGGUGACUAUGGAUUGUCCUUCAAGUGCUGUCUAUAAAUCCACAUGUUGGAACCCUCCAUCUAGACUGGCCAUUAUCUUGCUGCUUCUACUGUCUGGAAAUGUGCAAUCUGACCCAGGUCCUGACAUUCUUCCCCCUGUCCAAUGAAGUAGUCAGAGCGGCCUGAAGUUUCUGCAUGUGAAUGUAAUAAGUCUGCUGCUGAAGUAUGAUUAUGUGGAUAUAUGGAUAAAACCUGCCCACCCUGAUGUAUUUAUGCUUUCUGAAACCUGGCUACAAAAAUCUAUUAAAGACAAAAAUAUUGGCGUAAAUGGUUGUAAUGUUUUUGGUGCAGGUGGUCGAUCUAAGGGUGGUGGUGUUGCUGUUUACGUAAAACACAAGUUCUCAGCCGUCUGACUUCUACUCAACCUCAGCAAGUUGAAUAUCUGUGUUUGAACCUUAACCUUGGCUCCUGUUUAAAUAUGGUUGUAUCUUGUUGUUAUGGACCAUCUGCUCCUGUUUAAAUAUGGUUGUAUCUUGUUGUUAUAGACCAUCUACUCCUGUUUAAAUAUGGUUGUAUCUUGUUAUAGACCAUCUGAUACUGUUUAAAUAUGGUUGUAUCUUGUUAUAGACCAUCUGAUACUGUUUAAAUAUGGUUGUAUCUUGUUAUAGACCAUCUGAUACUGUUUAAAUAUGGUUGUAUCUUGUUGUUACAGACCAUCUGAUACUGUUUAAAUAUGGUUGUAUCUUGUUGUUACAGACCAUCUACUCCUGUUUAAAUAUGGUUGUAUCUUGUUGUUAUAGACCAUCUACUCCUGUUUAAAUAUGGUUGUAUCUUGUUGUUAUAGACCAUCUGAUACUGUUGGCUCUCUGGAUUGUAUUUUCAGAUUAUCACAGUGUAACAGUUGUUAAAGUACUAUGUGAAUUUCACCUGGUUCAUAUAUCAAUAUGUUGUGUUGAUUUGUUAUGCAUGCCUGCAUCCUGGGAGAAGGGGAGUGUGUACUUACGUUUUGCCCGGCGUGCUCAAAUCAUUUUGAUGCACUGAGAGAGGUAGGCACGCUUUUUCUGUCUUCAGAAAAGUUUGAUUCUUUUAAGUACAAAGUCAUACACACAGUGUUUUGUUCAUGAAUAAUGAUGUGUAUUUAGAGGUUACUAAUACGUGGUUUGUCUUGUUAAGAUGCACUUGUAAUUGUACUUUUUAGGAAGAUUUCAACAUUCUGAAUUCAACAUGUGGUUAAUAGCUAGCUAAGGUAUUAGCAGGCUAUUGUAUGUGUGAACGAUGGCUAGCUCCUCGAAUGAUCCCAGUCCCUCCUAUUGUGCAUCUGUUGUAGAAAGAGGCGACGAUUCUCAGAACAGAUGUGGCUCUACAAAUGUUUUAUUUCCUUUUGGAUGCAGAGAGUCAGUUCUACUUGAUUAAAACUACCUGAUCUCCAAAGUCCACGUUUAUAGUCUCUAUCAACCACACACAACGCAGAGUUACACCGGCUACAACAGCAUGUCAACUCUGAGUUUGUCCUGAUGGGUGAUCUGAAUCAGGACUGGUUAACAUCUAGCUCUGAUCAACUCUAAAUUCUAUACAAUACCUAUAAUCUCACUCAGAUUGUCAACAGUGUAACGAGGUUGAAUAUAAAGUCUCCUCUGAAAUCCUCUUUGAUUGAUUUGAUAUUAACCAAAACUCCUCAUCGUUUUAAUGCUUCUGGUAUUUAUGCAAAUGACAUAAGUGAUCACUGUGCUAUUGCCUGUGUGAGAGAUGGUCAAAUUCCUAAACAUCCUCCACGUGUCAUUAUGAAAAGAAACAGGAAGCUGUUUGAUAUUCCAGGUUUUUUACAUGAUGUAUCCAGAAGUAAAUGGAAUAGAAUGGAAUGAAUCCCUGAUGUUGAAUUAGCCUUUUCUUACUUCCACAAUGCUUUCCAGGAUGUACGCAAUAGGCCCCUUUAAAUAAAUUCAGGAUGAAGGGCAGAGAGAAUCCCUGGUUUACUGAGGAACGNNNNNNNNNNGGCUACAACAGCAUGUCAACUCUGAGUUUGUCCUGAUGGGUGAUCUGAAUCAGGACUGGUUAACAUCUAGCUCUGAUCAACUCUAAAUUCUAUACAAUACCUAUAAUCUCACUCAGAUUGUCAACAGUGUAACGAGGUUGAAUAUAAAGUCUCCUCUGAAAUCCUCUUUGAUUGAUUUGAUAUUAACCAAAACUCCUCAUCGUUUUAAUGCUUCUGGUAUUUAUGCAAAUGACAUAAGUGAUCACUGUGCUAUUGCCUGUGUGAGAGAUGGUCAAAUUCCUAAACAUCCUCCACGUGUCAUUAUGAAAAGAAACAGGAAGCUGUU
rnacentral:lncRNA from 13 species